GACGAACCGUGCGAACGUUGUUCGGAAUCACUGGGCUUAAAGGGCGCGUAGGCGGGUUCGCAAGUCCGGGGUGAAAUCUUUCAGCUUAACUGGAAAAGUGCCCCUGAUACUGCGAGUCUCGAGGGAGGUAGGGGCAUGUGGAACUUCCGGUGGAGCGGUGAAAUGCGUAGAUAUCGGAAGGAACGCCGGUGGCGAAAGCGACGUGCUGGACCUCUUCUGACGCUGAGGCGCGAAAGCUAGGGGAGCAAACGGG
rnacentral:rRNA from 1 species